UACGGAGGGUCCAAGCGUUAUCCGGAAUCACUGGGUUUAAAGGGUGCGUAGGCGGAUAACUAAGUCUAAGGUGAAAGUCUGUGGCUUAACUAUAGAAUUGCCUUGGAUACUGGUUAUCUUGAAUUGGGUUGAGGAUGGCGGAAUGUGACAUGUAGCGGUGAAAUGCAUAGAUAUGUCAUAGAACACCGAUUGCGAAGGCAGCCAUCUGGGCCUUGAUUGACGCUGAGGCACGAAAGCGUGGGGAGCGAACAGG
rnacentral:rRNA from 1 species